CAAAAAACCAAGGGCAGUGCAGGAAGCGAAGGCACCAUAGAAAGGACUCGCCAGUGCAUUUCAUCCAUAGCGUCGCGAGGAGGAGCCGCUGCUUUCUUAUUUUCUAGAAACAGUAUUCAGUUGAAGUAUUGAUGGGAAAGGAGAGCGAAAUGACGGCCAUGGAAAUUGACGCUCAAAAAUCUAUUUCCGAUCAGAUCAAUCCCAGAUAUUCAAUCAACGUGUUGCGGCUCCUGAAGUCUGCACAGAUGCAGCAUGGGUUGCGACAUGGAGA
rnacentral:misc_RNA from 1 species